rnacentral:misc_RNA from 1 species
AACGCAAAUUGCGCCGCCUUACCUUCAUGCCUGCUUCCGUGUGCUAGGGGAAUUAAUUCUCAUUAUACAAUAUUUUGCGGUUGAGGCACAUUUAUGUUCUUCUUUCGUUACAUAUGAAGGUGUGAAAGAUGAGUAAUCUCUCACACUGGCAAACGAAGUAGUCAUGCUUGUUCGUGGUCUCGUUUAACCAGUGCUAAAGGUUUUUGCUUAGCUAUAAAUCACAUCUAAUCAACUAAAUAUCUCCAAAAGUGGCAUCUGAAAUCAGACAGGGAUACCCGCUGAACUUAA